rnacentral:rRNA from 1 species
GAUGAACGCUAGCGGCAGGCUUAAUACAUGCAAGUCGAGGGGCAGCAGGGGUAGCAAUACCCGCUGGCGACCGGCAAACGGGUGCGGAACACGUACACAACUUUCCUUUAAGUGGGGAAUAGCCCGGGGAAACCCGGAUUAAUACCCCGUAACAUUAUAAAGUGGCAUCAUUUUAUAAUUAUAGCUCAGGCGCUUAAAGAUGGGUGUGCGGCUGAUUAGGUAGCUGGCGGGGUAACGGCCCACCAAGCCUACGAUCAGUAACUGGUGUGAGAGCACGACCAGUCACACGGGCACUGAGACACGGGCCCGACUCCUACGGGAGGCAGCAGUAAGGAAUAUUGGUCAAUGGAC